rnacentral:rRNA from 1 species
UACGUAGGUGGCGAGCGUUGUCCGGAUUUACUGGGCGUAAAGGGAGCGUAGGCGGACUUUUAAGUGAGAUGUGAAAUACUCGGGCUCAACUUGAGUGCUGCAUUUCAAACUGGAAGUCUAGGGUGCAGGAGAGGAGAAUGGAAUUCCUAGUGUAGCGGUGAAAUGCGUAGAGAUUAGGAAGAACACCAGUGGCGAAGGCGAUUCUCUGGACUGUAACUGACGCUGAGGCUCGAAAGCGUGGGGAGCAAACAGG